rnacentral:lncRNA from 1 species
ACCAUUAGAUGUAAAUCCAUGGAGUCUUCUUUUUCUAUAUAACGGUCCUAUCACUUACAAAUGAUAUCUGCCUUGUCUUUUUCUUUCCAGUUCUUACUCCUCUGAUUUUUUUCUUUAAAUUCUUCAAAACGUUGGGAAGGAUCUACGUUUCAGAGUCCGUCUUGCCAAUAAUUGAAUCACAUAAACUAACAGGUAUUUCAGAGAUGGUGGAGCAUUACUCGCUGCAAGUCUCCAGCAUUCAGUGGGGAAGCAUGCAUGUGAAUGGGAGAAAGGCAAGGUUAGCAUCCGCUUUUGUUUCGCUCUGUCACACUACCCUUUAGGCCAGAUCACAUGGCACUAGGAUCUAUAUUCCCCAGGGAAACCAUCUCCUGAAUUUAAAGUCAGAGCGGAAAAGAGGGCAAAGGUGAUAAGAAGCAGAGCUGAAAUUUUUAAUAGGAAAUGCCUCAUGGAGCCUACAGAGGAAACGAGAGAGAGAAGAUUGUGUAUUUUAAGGUUGUUUGCAAAUGAAGCCUAUUUCCCUUCUAGUUCUAUAUAAUAAUUACAUGUUUUUGAGGGAAAGAAAUUCUAGAAUAUUUCUCAUAGAGUCUGAAAUAGACAACCAGGUAGUUGUUUACUUAUAAGGUAAUUACUUUCUUUAGCUCAGGUGAGUGAAUUCUGUGUUUGCAAGCAAGCUCUAAGGUGGGGUAAGAUAAGAGUGCAAACACUUGCUCUGUUCAGAGGUCUGAUAUUUACAUUAAUAAAUAGUAGGUCAUGGAGGCUAAGCAAUAUCCAUAUGGGAUGAAUGCAUUCAGGAGCCUGGCCAAGAAAACAUCUCUGCACCAAAUAAGAAUGUGUAGUUAUUAAGCAUUUAAUAAGUAUUAAGUAAUAAACACACACAAGAGGUCAAAUAAUGGUGUAACGGGUGGAGGCUUUCGAAGGCCUAUGGCAAGACAUCCCAAAGCAUUAAAUAUAUGAUCCCACCGCUAUCCUCCAUCAUCUCUGUCCCUGCCAUCUGAUGACUGAUUUGUGAGACUAUAAUUCAAGAAUUUGUGUGAGGAAGGUGCACAGAUGUUUAUAGCCCCAUAUGUCAGUGCUUCUCCUCUGAAUUUUCCACAACAUGCUCACUGAAUUCACCCUGAGUCUAUCAGCCUUCCAGGUUCCUUGGGCUCUCAAGUAAAGGUGAGUGUUAAUUACUCACCAUGAAGUUGAAGAAACAAUCAGCUGAAUCCUUUUGACACUGAGUAGUGGUCUAUUUCAUAAGCAUGCAAGAAAGUAUUUUAGAACAACUUGCCGGCUGUAGUCAGGAUAGGCUGUUUCCCACCCCAGAACUCAGUGGCUCAUGACAGUAAACAUUUAUGUUUCACUCACGCAAACUCAGCUGUGGGUUUGGGCAACUCUCCAAGACACUGCUAUUCUCCAUGCGGUGACUCAGUGAUCCAGGCUGCUUUGAUCCUUUUGCUUCACCAUCUCAACAUGAAUCCUCCAUGAUCACCACAGCAGGGAAGCAAGGGCCUGGAGAAUUCUGCCCCUUUUCCAUGCUUUGGCCCACAAGUGAUGCAUGUUACUUCCAGUUGCAGUCCAUUGACCAGAACACAUCAAAGGCCUCAGUCUAAUGAGGGUAUAAGAAAAGUAGGUAUGCCCACAAAGUAUUUUAGAACUUUAUUAUUGCUGAUCUUUAUUUGACUUUUCUUUAUUUUUUCUGAAGGA